GAUCUGGCUCAGGAUAAACGCUGGCGGCGUGCUUAACACAUGCAAGUCGAACGGAGUGGUUCUCCCGAAGACCUGAAGAGCUUGCUCGGAUGGAAUUCAUUGAAUCACUAGUGGCGGACGGGUGAGUAACGCGUGGGUAACCUGCCUCACACUGGGGGAUAGCAGUUGGAAACGACUGAUAAUACCGCAUAAGCGCACAGUACCGCAUGGUGCAGUGUGAAAAACUCCGGUGGUGUGAGAUGGACCCGCGUCUGAUUAGCUAGUUGGUGAGGUAACGGCCCACCAAGGCAACGAUCAGUAGCCGGCCUGAGAGGGUGUACGGCCACAUUGGGACUGAGACACGGCCCAAACUCCUACGGGAGGCAGUAGUGGGGAAUAUUGGACAAUGGGGGAAACCCUGAUCCCAGCGACGCCGCGUGAACGAAGAAGUAUCUCGGUAUGUAAAGUUCUAUCAGCAGGGAAGAUAAUGACGGUACCUGACUAAGAAGCACCGGCUAAAUACGUGCCAGCCGCGGC
rnacentral:rRNA from 1 species